ACAUGCCUACAUCAUAGUAUUAAUACAUUGAAUCCCAUUAGAACUCUGUAGUUAAGUUCACUUAGGCUAGAGUAGUACUAGGAUGGGUGACCACCUAGGAAAUCCUAAUGUUUUACAUGCC
rfam:Picea glauca, whole genome shotgun sequence.